ACGGCUCUGCUGCACCCGUUACUUACCAACCUUCAUCCUACACUCAAUAAGAUGGGAGGAACCUAGCCAGGUGUUAAGAUUCUUAUUUUUAUUUGGUGUCUGAUUUCUGGAUGUGGCCCUCUAAUUUUGGGACCCGCCCCCUUCAUCUCCCUUUCCCGUAUAAAAGUUUUUUUUUGGUCUUAUCUCAUGACUGGAUAUGAUGCCCAUGCCUGUAACGCUGAUUACCUUUAUAUGGAGCUCAAGCUGGAUGUGAUUUCCGUGCUGUGAGUUUUAAAUGGUUUGGCUAUCGAGCAUUGUGAUUACUCUCAUGAUUGGAGUCGCCAUUGGGCGCCUAUGCUUGUUUUUUUGCUAAAUUUUGGCAUGCCUAAUAGACUAAUUUGUUAAAUCACAACAAUUUAGUAAUCAUGCUAAAAAUCCAAUUUAGUAAGAACAUGGCUAUGAUGGGUAACAAUUAGCUAGCCCUUGUAAUUGAUAGACGUCAUUCUUUUGGCCACGAGAGGUCUGAAAAUAACUCACAAACAUUCAGACCAAUGGAGAAGCUUGUAUUACAUGUUCUAUAAAAUGGUUAUUCAUCAUCUAAUUCUUUAUAUAAACAAAUAACUACACAUGAAUAGAACAAUAAUGUUCCCUUAUAGUUUAUAAUAUUGCCACCUUUGUGAGUAUCAUUACCUUUGUGAAUAUCAUUUUGCCUCUACCAUCACAACCUCACAGUUAAUUUUUUUUUUCAUCAUUCAAUUUUUUUUUAAAAUUAGUCUUAUAAUUUGUUUUUUCAAUUCAGCUAUCCCCGAUUUCAUUACCAGAACUACAUGUUUGAUGAAUUUUUUUUGGGUCGCUGUUUUUUUAUUUAAAAUUUUAUUAGUUUCAUCCUUGAACAUUUGGUUCCUUUAGAAUUGAUUAUUGUAAUCAUUCUAAAGACAUGCAUAAAUUGUUUUAAGGCCUUAAAGUGCAUCUUCAUUCAUCUCAGAAACUGAAAAAAUAAAAAAAAAUCAAAUAAAAGAAACCUAAUUAUUUUUCCUGGCCUUGAUCUCUUUUUCUUUGUCCUUCUAGGGUGGUGUAAUCACCAUCAACAAAAUGGCCUUUUAAGGAAGAAGGGGACACUGGACACCAUUAUAGCAGGUUGCAAUGUCAGGAUCUAGAGGAAAGUUUCUCUCCUCGCCUAUCUCUCCUCGGUCCUGUCUCCGAUCUUUACAUACAGGGACUGAAUUUUAAAAAUAGUGUGUUUGUUUUUUAAAUAGGUUUUGUGGUUUUGAUUUUAAAAAAAUAAAUUUAAAAAAAGUGUGGUUAACUAUGAUUAGUUAAAUUUAAAUACGUGUUUAGUAAAAAUUAUAGUUGAAGUUUAUGUGUAACAAAAAUAAUGUAUAAAAUAUUUGGUGGAAGUAUAGUUGCCGUUGUUUUUUAAAGUGUUUUUUACUUGGAAAUGUAUCAAAAUAAUUUUUUUAAAAAAAUUAUUUUUGAUAUCAGCAUUGAUUUGAAAACAAAAAAAAUAUAUCAAUUUGAAGCAAAGAAAAAAAUAAAAAAAUUUAUUUUUUUCAAAAGCGCUUUUGAAACAUAAAAAUAAAUAGGGUUUUAUGAAACUCAAUUAAAAAAUCAUGUAAAAACUACUACAUAAAAAUUACGUUUCAAACUCAACUUUUUAGUAAGUCCCGCAUUACAAACCAAAGUUUAGUUUGUUAAUUACCAAACACUUUGCCAUGUUUGUUUCACCACAAACAAAAAACCAGUGAAGAAAUCCUAAAUAUCUAAAUAAUUUAUACAUGUUUUUUACUACACAUAACCUUUAACUAUAAUUUUUAUUAAACACAUAUUUAAAUUCAAUUAAUUACAAUUGACUCUAUUUAAAAAAAAAAACUUAUUUUUUUAAAUUAAAAUCUCAAAAACUAUCUAAAAAAUAAAGAAACGAGUGAGGAUGUUGAUGAUGCCAAGCAAGUCAGUGUAAAGUGGAAAUCUUGACAAGAUGUUGUAGCCUUCAUAAAAAGUACAAUGCAGUACAAAACGAGAGGUGAAUGUUUGAGAUUGUUAUAAUUUUUAAUUUUAUAUGAUUUUUAAAAGUAUAUUUUAUUUUAAAAAUAUAUUAAAUUAAUAUUUUUUUAAUAAUUUUUUCUAAAACAUAUUUUUCUAAAACAUAUUUUUAAAAAUAAUUUCCAUCACAACACUAAAAACAUAUAAAUAUUUAUCAUAGUAACAAGAAGUGAUAAUAUUUGAUGUAAAAACGGCUGAAUGUAUAUGUCAUGUUUCGAGAAGCGUCCAUGAUUAUAUCAUUAUGAUCCCAAAAAGAAAAAUAUUAAAUAUUAGGCUACAAUUAUUUAUAUACAGUUUUAAAACCUGGACCGGCCCGGCAGGUCAACUCGGGCCGAGACCGGUCCAGGUAGAGGCAAAAAUCUACUUGGAAAUUGACUCGGUAAAACCCGGUCGAUCUGCCGGGUUGACCCCGUGACCUGGACCACCCGGUCAAACCCGGCUGACACAUGAUCUCUCUUUCUCUCUUUCUCUAUAUAUAUAUAUAGACGUUAAACGACGUCGUUUUGGCCUUAAAAGGCCAAAACGAUGAACAAUGACGAAGCAGAAUUGGGGACACAUUGAUUACAGAGCAAACCCAAUUAACGAAAGAUUCCAUCACAGCCAAUGCAACUACAGUCUGGUCUAUAAGCUUUUGGCUUUCUUCUUUGCUCUUGCCAAUUAGGAUUUUUGCGUUUCGAGUGAUCGAUUUGCCCAUCAAAGUUGAAGUGAAGGGAGUGAGUUGGUUACAGAGAGAACUCCAUUCUAGGAUUUUAAGGGUUUUGAGUUGGAGUGAGCGAGCUGGAGGAGUGAGUUUCGGUGAGUGUGAAUCAAAGGGUUUUGUUAGGGCUUUGGUGGAGAAGGGUGGUUUGGUGGUGAAGAAGAGAAUCGGGGAUUUUUUAAUGGCUAUUAAAUGAUUGGAGAGUUUGAUUAAUGAAGGAUUUUUGAGGGAGAGAAGGAAAGGGAUGGGCUGUUUGACAACAACUUAUCCUUUUUAUUUUCAGCUUAUCUUUUAUUUUAGGUUGACUUGUUUUUAGGUUGACUCGUGUCAAUCAAUCUAACUCGUGAUUCGAUCACUUGACUAGAUUGAUAUCCGGAUCGAUUUUUAAAAUUAUGAUUUCUAUAAUUAGGUUACAUUUCGUUAUAGUCAUGUAUUUGAAAAAAUAUUUAGUUAAUAAAUAUAUAUAUAUAUAUAUAUAUAUAUAUAUGUUUUACUAAAAAUUAUUUUAAAAUUUUAAUUAAAAUAUAAUAUAUUUUAUAACUUUUUUUAAAAUGUAUUUUUUAAAAUCACAUAUCUAUCACAAAGAAAGAUCUUUUCAUACAUCCCAACUUUAGGCUAGAAGAUAUUCAGGGCCAUUCCACUACCCUAGCCAGAGUGUCUACGAGGGCCCCGCAGCAGCCCCGUAUGCAUCAACUUAUGGUAUCUCGCACGCUCAAAGCCCUUCUGCAAUCUCUCAACAACCCUACCAUCACUCUCAAAGCCCCAGUGCAAUUCCUCAACAACUCACUCACAGCCAGCGGAGACAUGAGUGCUGCCGGUUUCCGUGCCAGUGGUUCUUAUGGAAGCCAGACCGGUUACGGGGCAUAUGAUUACGGCUCUGCUGCACCCGUUACUUACCAACCUUCAUCCUACACUCAAUAAGAUGGGAGGAACCUAGCCAGGUGUUAAGAUUCUUAUUUUAUUUGGUGUCUGAUUUCUGGAUGUGGCCCUCUAAUUUUGGGACCCGCCCCCUUCAUCUCCCUUUCCCGUAUAAAAGUUUUUUUUUGGUCUUAUCUCAUGACUGGAUAUGAUGCCCAUGCCUGUAACGCUGAUUACCUUUAUAUGGAGCUCAAGCUGGAUGUGAUUUCCGUGCUGUGAGUUUUAAAUGGUUUGGCUAUCGAG
rnacentral:lncRNA from 1 species